UAGGGAAUCUUCCGCAAUGGACGAAAGUCUGACGGAGCAACGCCGCGUGAGUGAAGAAGGCUUUCGGGUCGUAAAGCUCUGUUGCCAGGGAAGAACACUUGAGAGAGUAACUGCUCUUGAGUUGACGGUACCUGAGAAGAAAGCCCCGGCUAACUACGUGCCAGCAGCCGCGGUAAUACGUAGGGGGCAAGCGUUGUCCGGAAUUAUUGGGCGUAAAGCGCGCGCAGGCGGCUUUGUAAGUCUGUCUGUUUAAGUUCGGGGCUCAACCCCGUGUCGCGAUGGAAACUGCAAGGCUUGAGUACAGAAGAGGAAAGUGGAAUUCCACGUGUAGCGGUGAAAUGCGUAGAGAUGUGGAGGAACACCAGUGGCGAAGGCGACUUUCUGGGCUGUAACUGACGCUGAGGCGCGAAAGCGUGGGGAGCAAACAGGAUUAGAUACC
rnacentral:rRNA from 1 species